rnacentral:pre_miRNA from 1 species
AAUAGAUAAUACCGUUGACUUUUUCUCACAUGUUUGACCAUUUGUCUUAUUCAAAAAAAUUUACGUAAUUAUAAUUUUUGUUAUAAGUUGUUUUAUCACUCAUGCAUAGUACUUUAAGUGUGAUUUAUAUCUUUUACAUUUGCAUAAAAUUUUUGAAUAAGACGAAUGGUCAAACUUAUGAGAAAAAGUCAACGGCGUCAUCUAUU